UUCCUUUCUCCUGCUAUGUGUAUUCUCUCUCGCUCUCACUCUCACUCUCAAACUCCCCCUCUAGGUUCCUAAAGUCUUCGUGAGAGGGACCAAGGCCACCUCUCCAUCAACGCCUCCAAGACUAGAUACGUUGCCUCUCCAUUGCAAUUCAUGUGGUAGAGACGAUCUCAACGGGCGCGUUCCAUGUCCUGAGGGAGCUUGCACUGCUGUUGGAAGCGCCACUUAGGGCCAAAUUUAGGGUGCAGCGGGGGCUUGCCGUCAACAAGGAAAAAGGAGGUGUCCUCGUCAUCGGAUGCGAGGAAUGAGUCAUUGUGCGUGAAGUGGAAGAUGGUGUUGGCGGGGUACUUGGAGCAGGUUGGGUUGUAGAAGUUGCGAUUCUUGGGUACUGUGACUGGAGUGGUUCCCUUUAACAUAUUUGUAACACUGCUUCUUCUGUGAGGCAUCAAUGGCGAAAAAAGCUUUGUCCUUCUCUCUGCCUUCCAGUGACCUCACCAACAACCACUUUUCUUCCAAAACGCCACACGCUGUCGCCAAAGUUUUUGUCUUUACUAUCAGAUGGUCUUCUUUGGGUAGUGGAGAGAGGCCUUGGAAGAAUUCAGUUGCUAGACUUAUGCUUGAAGAUGGUUCAAUUUGGAGAGCAAAAUCAUUUGGUGCUUCAGGGACAUAAGUUGGUGAGGUUGUUUUCAAUACAUCAAUGACAUGGUUUUGUCUGUGACAUUGAAUGGAUGGUCAAGUUAUGGAAUAAAUGCAACGAUUGAAGUUGGAGGAAAUUCUUCUGCUAAUUCAAUUUAUGAGGCUAAUUUUCUAGAAGGAUAUACAAAACCUAGACCAGAUGCCAGUCAUGAGCAGCGUGCGAAAUUCAUCCGAUUAGAUAUGUUUUCAUCUAACUUUACACUGUACAUCUACCAUUCUUAGCAUCAUUUUGAUUGUUUUAUAAAUAUAUUAUAUAUUAUAUUUAUGGUCACCACAAAAUGGGUAAAAGCUGUAGUCAAUUUUUUAUGAUAUAGACACGAACUUUUGUGCCCUAAUUGCAAUUUUUUUUCUUCUCAUGUUUUUCUUUUUUCUUUUUUACCAUUUGGCUUUGCUGAGUCAUUUAUUUUCAAGUUUAUGUUUUUAUUGUACUCUUUUUAAUUGCACUCUAUUGUCCUAGGUUGAUAACGGACUAAUCGGCAUUGCAUUGGGAUAUUGCUUAUGGUAGCAUAAUCUAUGAUAGCAAUCUAACCAGUGCUCAAGUUAAGAGUGGCAUUUUAAUUGUGGUAAUUUUUAUUGCAGGUUAAAGUAUGAGUGUCAAGAAUUUUAUACUUUAUGGAUAGUUUUCGAAUUACUAGUGAUUCAUAGCAUAUGGUAAUUAUAUUUUAUACUUUAGUUCCUUUGAUUGGAGAUGUAUUUGUUUGUUGGCCACAUGUUGAGUUAGCAUAUCAAAGGUAACUGAGUUUAAUUGAUGUUGUACCCGGAGGAAAGCCUUCUAUCACUUGUUGCAUGCAUCCAACCUUACUAGUUUGGUAGUAAAUGAAACAAAUUAUUUUCAUGAGUGGUUUACUUGGAUGUUUGAUUGGUAUUUAUGGUUAAAAUAGGAAGGAAAGGUAGAAUUUAUUGGAAUGUUAAAGGCGAAAGUGAUCAAAGGCACAAAUUUAGUUGUCAGAGAUACGAUGACAAGUGAUCCAUAUGUUAUCUUGGCCAACAGGUUGGUUGUUCUCAGUUAUCAUUAGCAUAAAUUAUUUCAUGGGAAACUUUUUUUCUUUAUCUUUUAUUUUUAAUUGAAGAGCAGUAGAUGCUGAUAAUUUUCUUUCUGAAUUGACUUUGGUGUUAUACGCCUUUAGACUGUACAUAUAAUUGUAAUAAAGAGUAAUUUGAAUCCAAUUUGGAAUGAGGAACUUAUGUUGUUUGUUCCUUAACAAUUUGGACUA